rnacentral:rRNA from 1 species
UACGUAGGGUGCAAGCGUUAAUCGGAAUUACUGGGCGUAAAGCGUGCGCAGGCGGUUUUGUAAGUCUGAUGUGAAAUCCCCGGGCUCAACCUGGGAAUUGCAUUGGAGACUGCAAGGCUAGAAUCUGGCAGAGGGGGGUAGAAUUCCACGUGUAGCAGUGAAAUGCGUAGAGACGUGGAGGAACACCGAUGGCGAAGGCAGCCCCCUGGGUCAAGAUUGACGCUCAUGCACGAAAGCGUGGGGAGCAAACAGG